UACGAAGGGGGCUAGCGUUGUUCGGAAUUACUGGGCGUAAAGCGCACGUAGGCGGACAUUUAAGUCAGGGGUGAAAUCCCGGGGCUCAACCCCGGAACGGCCUUUGAUACUGAGGAUCUUGAGUUCGGGAGAGGUGAGUGGAACUGCGAGUGUAGAGGUGAAAUUCGUAGAUAUUCGCAAGAACACCAGUGGCGAAGGCGGCUCACUGGCCCGAUACUGACGCUGAGGCGCGAAAGCGUGGGGAUCAAACAGG
rnacentral:rRNA from 1 species